UACGUAGGGUGCGAGCGUUAAUCGGAAUUACUGGGCGUAAAGCGUGCGCAGGCGGUUUUGUAAGUCUGACGUGAAAUCCCCGGGCUUAACCUGGGAAUUGCGUUGGAGACUGCAAGGCUGGAGUAUGGCAGAGGGGGGUGGAAUUCCACGUGUAGCAGUGAAAUGCGUAGAGAUGUGGAGGAACACCGAUGGCGAAGGCAGCCCCCUGGGCCAAUACUGACGCUCAUGCACGAAAGCGUGGGGAGCAAACAGG
rnacentral:rRNA from 1 species